rnacentral:rRNA from 1 species
GUUCGUGGAGUGAUCUGUCUGCUUAAUUGCGUUUCACUAAAGGCGUCAUUAAUUUUUUGUGCCUGUGUUUGACCCCGCACUUCGGUGCGCGCGCGUCUUUCACACACAAUUACUUUGACGUCUGAAAGCAACGAACGUGACCGUAACCUCUUGUUGCCUUCUCUUCUCUUCGGAGAAUGCCGCUUUAUACCUUCACGGGUGUAUCGCAGUAUACGGAGGCUUAAUACUCAGUAACUAGAGGGACCGCUGUUACUUUCUUUAAACCAGAGGAAGGUUGCGGCAAUAACAGGU